AUAGGGUUGAUAUGACUCCAGGGUAGCCAAUCUGAUGUUGUGCGCUAAAACUUCAAUUGCCAGCAGUCAUCAUUUUGGAAGUUAUGGUUCAAAAGCCCUGGGGGGAGGGACCACAUUAGCUACCCCUGAUGUUAUCCAUCUUCUCUCAGCUGCAGCACCCAGCACCCACCCCUACAAUAUGAGCAUAAUAUAAAGGUGGACUUCCUUUGCCUUGGCAGGGUAAUUUCAAAAAUGUCUACAAACUUGGGGAGAAAUACAUAUCUGCAUGAAAUAAGACCUGACCUCGUAAGAGUACAAGCUCCUGUCACUGCAGCUAACUUUUGUUGUGUGCUUGAUAUACUACUCCCAAUCACAGAUACACUGCAUUUCUGAAAUUUCUUUUUAGCACUAUGAAUAAGCCCUGCUUGUUUAAAAUGUGUUUAAUGGGUACUGUGUAAUAUAGUCAGUCAUUUGCAUUGUAAUGGGCAUUGUAACGUGUUUGAUGGUGGAAAUCUGUCUGAUCAGGUGAAAGUUGGUUUAACUGUCACUGGGGUCCUUAACUGACAGUUGAGGAAAGAGGUUGGAGCUAGAACACUCAAUAUGCAAAAGAAGGCUAGAACCUAUGCAUAUUCUGAUUGGUGAUUACAGGUUUAGAAUUCUUAGUUAGGCAGUGUGAUUGGCUGGUGCUCAACUAGGUGGGGCACAAGAAGUGAAUAUAUAGCUGGGUGCUAUUCAGUCAAGAUCAGUCUGUGUUAGUUGGAGACGGAUGCCAGCAACCACCAGCAAGAUAACCAAAAGAAGAAGACAGCAGAGGAAGAGACCUCAGAAAGAAGAUCUGAAAAAAAUGAAGUGUAGCUUGGUGGCCAGAAGACUUGCUGGGGCAGCUGAAUCACUUGGCUUAGAGUAAAGAGACAUGGGAAGAACGUGUUUACAAUAUUAAGGCAGAAGAAAUGAGAGGCAGUUUAGAAUGCUAAACAGAUCUGCACUUCAAUAAGUUGGUAGGGAUCAAAACAGGCUUUAACAAAAGUCCUCAGUUACAGCACUGGUAAGGCUUAACUAGGGUGGAAUAAAUAUGAGGUCAAUCUGGUAGAAGAGUUUUAAUAGGGUAGCUAAUUGCUCCCUAAAAGCUAUAUUUGUGUUUAAAGUGGCAGUAACAAGUUAAAGUAUUAAAAAUAAACUCCUCCCCUAUCGGAAGAGAGCAGGUACCAGCUAGGAGAAGCACAAAAAGCUCAAAAUCCUAUAGACUUAAUGUUUCCUCCAAGUAGAUGGGGCACAUAAUAUUGUUGGCUGCCAAGCAGGGGCAUGCUCCCACAGAAUGCUGGCUGGCUCUUGGGGAAAUGAAAACAAGAGGGAAGGGGGAGGGGUGGAAUAAUGUGAUUUCUAGAAAAGGGCAAGGCUGGUUGACUGAAACUGAACAGGAGCACUUCGCACUGCAACAUUUUGCUGCGAUUCUCAGUUGUGCUCAUCUAACGGCCGCAACCCACCAGAAAGGUAAGCCCAAGACAUUUUGGUGCCCAAAUUGGUGCCCUCCACUGCCAGGGAAGAAGGGAUGAGUGAAGAUCCAUAUCAGGAACGAGGGGGAAAUAAAGAGCGACAUCAAUAUCUGCUGCCCCUGUGGAUCCUGGCACCUGAGGCAGUCGCUUCACCUUGCCUCAUGUUUGGUGGGGCCCCGGUGCCAACAGACAAAUGAUCUUUCCUCAGAAAAGCUGCACAAUUUGGAACAGACAAAUGCUGAUCCGGGAAGAGUUAAACACCACCUCCCCACCUGCCAUUUCGCCACUCUGUGCCCUCCUCUGGAAAUGGGGCUUCCUCUUUAAAAGUGUCUGACAGACUACAGUUGCAUGAAUUUGCAUAUAUUAUAUAAUGGGCAGUUUAGGCCAAGGCAACGGGAAGAAAUAGGGGGCAAACAAUAUAAAUAGCUGAGGAAUAUAGUCACCACACUUCAAAGUUGCUUUUUCAUACUUACUUGGCCUUUAUAUAAAAAAAAUACAUGUCACUAAGAUGUUUUAAGUACAUUGACAAAUGUGGAAUAGACAUGGCAAACACAUGAAUCACACACUCUUCAAAGGGACAGAAUGAACUACAACUCCCUCUUGAAUGUGAGCUUAACAAGCAAACCUAGCUCCUUGUACAAUUUGUGAAAUGGAUCACAGGAUCUCCAUGUAAGAAAAAUACAUAUGGACUAUAAUAUGUGUGAAGUAUAGAACAAGUGCUUAUUAUGGUACCAGUACACAGAUCACAUCACAUCAACCAUUUCUUAAAUAAUAACAAAAUUGUACAAGUGGACCUGGCUGACUUCCAUUUAUAUAGCCAGUUUUGUAUCUUGACUGUUCACUCGACAUAGUGGUAUGUAUUAGAGAGGUCUACAUAACUAUUUUUAUGCAAAAUUUUCACCCAGCUAUUCUGCUAUUCAUAUGUUGUUUAAAAGCAACUGAAGAGUGGUCAUAGUGUGUGAUUGCAUAAGUUGUUUUAAUACAGAUACUGAGCUAGUGAGUCAUUCAGACAUCCUGUGUUAGCUCAUCAUUUCUGCUUGAACAAUAAAUUGCAUAGUCAAAUUUGUUACCUUUGACAGUUUCUUAGCUACAUUAAAACAAACACUGUGUUUUGAAGUCAUUCACGUAUGACUGCUGGGAAAACAGAAAGCUACAAGUGCAAAUUGCUUUCUUUUUUUUAAAGGAAAAUAUAGCAUCUGGAAUGUUUGAUUGGGAUCAACUGCCACUUGGCUGCUUCUCUCCCAUAACUGUUGAUUAUUAGUCAUUCUAGCUGAUUGCAACAGAGGGAAAAGUGAGAUAGUACAGUCUAUGGGACCAACUGUUAAUGGCUCUGCCUCUCCUACAAUUGCCUCAAUGACCAUUGAACCUGCUCAUGAAACGGUUACAGUAUGUAAUUGUAACAGAAUAAAUGCCUGAAUCUGGAUCUUUUCCUGUUCCUUAACUAUCUCUUUUCCUUUUUAUACCAUAACUCUUAGCUUGUUAAGUCUGUGGACAGGAGCUUUGUUCUCUCAACAUUCAUACCACUGCCUAAAAGAUGAUAGAUGUCAUUAUUAUUAUUUCCUACAGUUGACAAACUAUGAGCUCUUCCAAAUAUUAUACAGAAGUACAAAUGCUAUAUCAGAUAUAAGGUGGCUUAAUAAAACGAUAUUGUGGAAACGAAGGCGAUAAAUAUAUGAUAAAAAUAAAUGUAUAUUUUUAAAAAUAAGUAGUUUGUUGUAUGUGUAUUAAACAAUAAAAUCAUAUUGUCGCAAGCUUUCAUGUCAAAAGGCAAGGGCAUAUAACUAUUCAUGCUUGGCUUGCCAUGGCAAAAGAUCAGCAAGGACAGAUAUCCAUGUUAAUUGUAUGCAGACUCCUACACACACACCCCUAAAUUCCUAGGCCAUUCUCUUUUUGUCGGUUGAAUGUAUCUAUUAAACAGAGAAAACACA